UUUUUCAGACUAAACAAAAAAACAAGAACAGGAUUUCUGUGGCUGCACAGCUAUAGAGAAAUAUAAUACCCAGAAAAUUUUACCAACAGGACAAUGAGGUAUCAUCAUUUUACAAACAGUGACGACAAAUGGCAUUGCAUGGUUGCUAUUGAUGUCUGUGUCUAUCUGCACCAAACUCUCGCAAUUCCUAGCCUAGGGUCCAGGGACAUUCCCAAACUAAGAUUUAAAUAGGACUCAACAUGUCAUCUUGUUCUUGAAAGAAUGGCACCACUGAAGCUGAAUAAAGCAAGUGCAAGUACACAAUAUUCCACAUUAUUAGGUGCCUUUUUUUUUCCUCUCUUUCUCUCUCCCUCUUUUCCCAUUUGAUAGUUCAAAUAGUAGUAGAGGUGUUAACGAGUUUAGCUCUUGGGAGUCGGGUCUUGUUUUAUAAUGGAGUCAAACUCAAACCGGCUAUGAUAGUCUCAAAGCUAUCUUUUAGUUACUAACGAGCAGUUCAUUUAAAAAAUUUAAUGAAAAGAAAAAUCUUAAGAAAUAUACUUUAUUCAAACAUUAAAACAAUAUUCAGUACUAUAUACUGUAGUUAAACAUAUAUUAUAUAUAAUCUUUGUUAAUCUUUACUAAAUAUAGUAUAAAAAUAAUUAUAAUUAUAGAUAAUAAUUAAAAUAUUUUAUAGAUCGACCAAUGCAAAGUUUGGCCAGCAUCAUUCAAGCCCUCCAUCUCCAAACUGACUCUUCCGAUCCAUCAUCAACUCAAACCUACCGAGUCCAAACCCACCUGCCCAUUUUAUAAAACAACAAGGAAAAGAAUUCCAACGCUUUUGGAUUUCUUCACCUCCCAUUCUCCUUCCCCUCCCACCUUUUUAUUACCUCGAGAACCCCACGCUGAGAAUACAAACAAACAAAAUCUCUCUCUCUCUCCGCCGCCCCAUCUUCUUCUUCUUCUCUCUCAUUGUACCGGUUGCUUUCCCCUCGCUUUCUUCUCCCUUCGAUGCCCUUUAAGGAUUCGGUGGCCGCUCCCCUCUUCCCUCCGCUCGGUCUACCGCUCAUUUCCUUGGCCGGAGAACCGCCAUCGCGCCGCCGGAAAUGGCCGACCCGCCGCCCCCCCUGCCGGACGGUAUAGCCGACGACGUCUCCGACAAGAUCUUCUCCGUUCCCGCGUACGGCGGUGGGGAUGCCGCCGUCGCCGGGAUGUUGUUUCACCUCACUGCCGGCGACGGCACUGCCUCUGUCUUCCCUCUGGGGCUGAGCCCGAGGCCGGAGGUUCCGGCGAAGGCGGGAAGAGAUUUGGUCCAGGCUCAUCCAAUUCGCCCUAAUCCACCUUAGCUUUGUAGAGAAAGAAUAGUUGAAAGAACGCGAGUGUUACAAGAAUUGGUCCCCGGCUCUCACAAGGUUCUAAGUAUGAGCAGACUCAGGGUUGCUGGUGCUGUGGCACAGGUAGUGGCUGAUAUCCCACUCUCAUCAGUUGAGGGGAAGGUCGGUGAAGGUGGAGGCAGGAAGCCGGUGUGGGAUAAGUGGUCGAACAAUGGCAUGGAAGCGCUGGUAAUGAAGCUUAUGGAAGAUGUUGGAGCAGCCAUGCAGUUCCUCCAGUCCAAGGCCCUAUGCAUUAUACCAAUCUCCAUUGCCACCACCAUCUACCAGUCUCAGCACCAAAAUGAAAUCCCUGCAGCCAAGCCGGAGCCCAAUACCCCUUCAUAGGCUGAGCUCCUCAUCAUCUGCACGUGCCCAUCAAUGACUCCUGCAUGUAGGCCACCUGCACUUUCUCGGACAGGGGCCAAAGAUCUCCAAUGUGCUGUUUUCUUGUUCUACUUCUUUUCCUUUUUUGUUUUUUUAAUUUUGGUCAAAAAGGCUAGUGAUUGGAAAAGCGUGGCAAGUGAAAGGUUGCCGAAAUCUUCAUAUGAUUCAGUGUUUUAUAGUGAAGGGCAGGCUGCCAAAAGCCAUCCCUGCUCUUAUUUUGUUUUUGUGGGGGACCGUAUUGCAGUACCCACACGCUGGCUUUCUUUUUGAGGUGGAUGGUAGGACAAAUAAAAGGGGAAUGUAAUUAAUGGAUGGGUUUCCUUUGAUAGUUUACAUCAUGUUAUUGUUAGGACUGCAAUGGAUGAUGAUGUUGAUUGAUCACA